rnacentral:rRNA from 1 species
GACGAACGCUGGCGGCGUGCUUCAUACAUGCAAGUCGAACGAGAAGCUGACUUCGGUCAGUGGAAAGUGGCGGACGGGUGAGUAAUAUGUAGGAAAUCUGCCUUUAGGAGGGGGACAACAGAGGGAAACUUCUGCUAAUACCCCAUAUGAGCGUAGCUGAAAUGCUAUUCUUGAAAACUCCGGUGCCUAAAGAUGAGCCUGCAUCUGAUUAGCUAGUUGGUAGUGUAAUGGACUACCAAGGCGACGAUCAGUAGCUGGUUUGAGAGGAUGAUCAGCCAAAAUGGGACUGAGACACGGCCCAUACUCCUACGGGAGGCAGCAGUAGGGAAAUUUGCGCAAUGGGCGUAAGCCUGACGCAGCAACGCCGCGUGAACGAUUAAGCCCUUCGGGGUGUAAAGUUCUGUCAGUGGGGACGAAACUUGACGGUACCCACAGAGGAAGCACCGGCUAACUCCGUG